rnacentral:lncRNA from 10 species
GAGAAAGAAAAGGUGAUAUAUAUAUAUACGAUGGAGUGUUACUCAGCUUUCAAAAGGAAUGAAGUUGUGACACAUGAUAUGACGUGGAUCAACCUUGAAAACAUGACGCUCAGUGAAGCAAGCCAAACACGAAAGGGCACAUAGUGUACGAUUCCACCUGUACGAGGUCCCGAGAAUAGUCAAAUUCAUAGAGUCAGAAAGUAAAGCAGUGCUUACUGGGCACUGGGGAGAGCCGAGAUUGAGGGGUUAUUAUUUAGUAGGUAUGGAGUUUCAGUUUGGGAUGAUGAAAAAGUUGUGGAGACAGAUCAUGGUGAUGGUUGCCCAGCAAGUGAAUGUACUUAAUGCUACUGAAAUGGUAAAUGGUAAAUUUUGUUAUGUAUAUUUUACUAGAUACACACAAAGACAUUUCUGGAGGAAAAAAAAUAAAAGAUAUUUCUU